CUCCACUUUGCAUCAGUCUAUUUUUCGGCAUCUGGAAGAAAAAAGGAUGCAAGAAAGACAGCAUAUGAGAGCUGUGAAGACUAUGGAUGAACUGAGGGAAAGACAAGGCCUCAAAGAUACAAAAGCUCCUCCAGCACUGGCUGUAAGACAUGACGUUUCUGGAUUCUCCUUCCUUUGUGUUCAUGGAGUGUGGAGGGACACGAGCAGCAGGUGAGGACAUGUUCGAGCUGCAUUCAGUAUACUAGCAGCAGAAGACGCGAGCCAGGCCCCGGGCAAGGACCUCUCUUCUCUCCGGUCUUUGAGAUCUCCACCCGGAACCGUUACACUCCCCUCCGCGAGACGGUAUGCGACACUGCGAUCAUUGAAGUCUCUAUCGUCCGGCACGACGAUCAUCGUGUCAGGACAGCUUCCCACGUAUCGACAAGGACAUGAAAGGGUCAGUAGAUUUUUUGCUUUAAACGAAUGGUUAUUGUCAUG
ensembl:lncRNA